rnacentral:snoRNA from 1 species
UCCAGCAGUUGUCAGCUAUCUGGGCUAGUGUAAUGCCUGAUUGUGUUACACUGUUGGGAGUACAAGCACUAUCUUCACGGAGGCUUGGAGCCACAGGCUGUUUUAGUAGAAAGGAAGAAAUAAUAACAAU